GCGGAUAUUGAAAAAAGAUUAAGAUAGGGAUUUUGACAUCAUAUGGGAUUUUUUUUUCUCUUUUUAUUUAAGUUUGAGUAUGUAAGAAGAGGGGUUGCUAAGAUUUUGAGGUGGUAAGUUUCAAGAUUGGCUUGGGAUUUUUAAUGCCACUUAUUAAAUUCUUAUCUUUUUAUAUUGAAAUUUGGAAGAAAGUUAGAUUUAGUUGUAAUCUUUUUAAUAAGCUUUAGCAUGCAAGAAGAAGAUCUAUAAGUAAAGAGAUCCAUGUAAGUUUUUAGGAAGAGAGGCCUUUGAAAUUUUUGUGCAAUAUAAUUUGAAAUUGGUUUAGAAUUUUCUAUGCUAAUUACUAUGCUUUUAUUAUUAUUUUUUGAGAUUUUGAAAAAAACUAGAUCUUAUUGUUAGUUUUUUAAUAAGUUUUAGCAUGCAAAAAGAAGAGUUGUGACAAAGAAGGUCCAUGUGAAUUUGUGAGAGGGGAGUUAUAAGAGUUUUUAGGGUGAUGUCAUUCAAGACCAAUUCGAAAUAUUUUGUGCAAUUCUUAUUUUUUUUUUAUUUUUAUUUUUAUUUUUUUUGAUUUGAGAUUUUGAAAAAAGCAAGAUCUUUUUUUUAACUUUUUAAGGAGUUUUAAUAUGCAAGAAGAAAAGUUAUAAUGAAGGAGAUCUAAACUAAUUUGUAGAUGGAGAUUUUGAAAGCAAUGGUUGCAAUAAGUGGCCAAUUUUUUUUUUCUUGAUUUGACUCUCAUUUUUUCAAAAUUUUAUUUAUUUACUUUGAUAAUUUAAAGUUUGUAACUUGAAUUAAGCUCAAUGAGCUAUAAUUUACCUAGAUUGAGUUAAUAAUAAUUGAACUAUAGGUAUUUUACUAAAAAGAGGUUUCAAUUUAAGAUUAGAAUUACUGAUUAGGUACAUCUUAGCUUAAGAAAGAAAUUAAUUUAAA
rnacentral:lncRNA from 1 species